rnacentral:lncRNA from 1 species
UGGGUGAGAACUAUUAAAAAGUUAUAAAAAUCAUCCUUAAGUAUUUGAAAAAUACUAAGGACCAAUGGCUCAUUUAUGAAGGAUCUGACUUAAAACUUGUAGGAUACACUGAUUUUAAUUUUUAGUUAGAUCGAGAUGAUAGUAAGAGCAUGUCGGGAUACAUAUUUACCUGAAUGAUGGAGCAGUCUACUGAAAAAAUUUCAAGCAGCACACUAUGACCGA